AAUUCUCAACCUCACCAGUUUUGUAAUGAGACAGGUGAAGGCUUGGAUGUGGGGGUUUUUGCAGGCUGCCUCAGUGCUGGUCUGCUCCCCUGAAAUGCAUUAGCGAGCUUAUACUGAGCAUCCGUCUAUUGGUGUGAUAAUUAUCUACGCCGUGGAUUGGACUCGUGCUUGCUUCUAACCGUCCGUAAGGACAAUCUACUUGACCA
rnacentral:misc_RNA from 1 species